GGGUAGUAUCUCAACUGUUUUCCUUGACAUUCAAUUGUUAAGAAAUAAAUACACUCUACUAUUUCCAAAUCUAACCCGAGGGUUAAAAAUCCUAAGCAAUUCAAAUAAAAAAGUUCAUCGGUCAAAGUGCAAAAUAACAUAAAAAACAAAAGGAAAAAUAUACAAAAGGCCCGCUGGGAAUCCUCAAUAAAAAAAUCUCAGGCAAAAGUUAGGGCAAAUAAAGUGCACUAUCAAUGACCGCAAAAAGGAACAAUUCAAAUACCCCUCGGGAAGAUUAUCGCCUAAAUAUUAGGCAUUCACCUACUACACCACAAAAAUCCAACAAAAUCUUAGUACUUGAAUGUCAUGUCAAGAAAACUGUUGAAAUAGGACAAUGGAGAAAGGAGAACAUAGAAAGGGGUUUGGGAAACACAUUUUUGAGCCUUAUCCUUUUUCUUGGAAACCCUUAGCCCGGCCACGAUACAAGCUCAAAAGACCUUGUCGAGGAUAGGAUCUGCCUAAGAGACGUACUAGGGCAAAGAAAUGCUAACUCCAAUAAAUAUCAUAAAGUUUUGAUGAAAAUAUCUCAUUUUAAUGCAUCGGAUUAAAUCUCAAUCUCUCAUCAUCACCACCAUCAUAUCAACACUCAAAACCCAAAAACAAAAAUCCAAAUUUGCUUGAUCACUGUUUUUAGUAUUUAUUUUUAAGGAGUUGUGCAUGAAGAAAACACUUGACAAGUUGAAAUCAAACGAAAGGUGUCAAACUGGGG
rnacentral:lncRNA from 1 species